CUACGGGUCGCUCCAGUGGGGAAUAUUGCACAAUGGGCGCAAGCCUGAUGCAGCCAUGCCGCGUGUAUGAAGAAGGCCUUCGGGUUGUAAAGUACUUUCAGCGGGGAGGAAGGGAGUAAAGUUAAUACCUUUGCUCACUGACGUUACCCGCAGAAGAAGCACCGGCUAACUCCGUGCCAGCAGCCGCGGUAAUACGGAGGGUGCAAGCGUUAAUCGGAAUUACUGGGCGUAAAGCGCACGCAGGCGGUUUGUUAAGUCAGGUGUGAAAUCCCCGGGCUCAACCUGGGAACUGCAUCUGAUACUGGCUAGCUUGAGUCUCGUAGAGGGGGGUAGAAUUCCAGGUGUAGCGGUGAAAUGCGUAGAGAUCUGGAGGAAUACCGGUGGCGAAGGCGGCCCCCUGGACGAAGACUGACGCUCAGGUGCGAAAGCGUGGGGAGCAAACAGGAUUAGAUACCCGAGUAGUC
rnacentral:rRNA from 1 species